GAAAUUAUCAAUAUUUUAAAGCAUGUCUAUCGAAUAAUCAUGGAUUCAUAAUUUUGAAGGGAAAAUGUGCACAUUUGUCGGCUUACAGACCUUACAAUGUGUUCUCAUUGGCGGAUCCAAAGGGGGGGGGUUCCAAGGGUUCGAACCUCCUUUGUUUUGGCCGCUCAAUGCAUUUAAAUGGGGACAUAUAGUUGGACCCCCCCUCCCCCUGUUUCGUUCUGGGUUGGACCCCCCCCUUUUUUUAGAAUGGCUGGAUCCGCCACUGAUCCUACGGAAUCUAUAUUGAGAUACUCCGAUAGGCUAUAUAUAGCUAUGAAUCGACGUUCUAUAUUACCACACUCGUGC
rnacentral:lncRNA from 1 species